GGGGGCAUAGCUCAGUGGUAGGGCGUUUGACUGCAGAUCAAGAGGUCCCCGGUUCAAAUCCGGGUGCCCCCU
rnacentral:tRNA from 1 species